AACAGGCGAAUCGGACAGGCUCCAGGCGGCACGCGCCAGUGUGUCAUGUGUGAGGCAUCCAGGUCGAGGACUCGAGGUCGAGGCCACGGUUCCUCGACGAACAAGAAGCGCCGUUCGGAAUGAGAUUCUCAAGACCUAGGAGCUGUGGACAAGGGAUUCUCUGAAGAAGGCGAGUCAAGCGUCAAUCCUUUUGGAACUUGUGUCAGUCAAGCUACUUGUAAGCAUGAGUGGCAACGGAUUACGAUUCUAUUGAUUUAACUUUAAAAUCCAACUUGUCUCUUGUAUAUUUUUAACUUGAAAUCAUAUUAAAUUAUCUCAACUUGUUUAGAGCCCA